rnacentral:rRNA from 1 species
AUUGAACGCUGGCGGCAGGCCUAACACAUGCAAGUCGAACGGUAACAGGAAGCAGCUUGCUGCUUCGUUGACGAGUGGCGGACGGGUGAGUAAUGUCUGGGAAACUGCCUGAUGGAGGGGGAUAACUACUGGAAACGGUAGCUAAUACCGCAUAACGUCGCAAGACCAAAGAGGGGGACCUUCGGGCCUCUUGCCAUCGGAUGUGCCCAGAUGGGAUUAGCUAGUAGGUGGGGUAACGGCUCACCUAGGCGACGAUCCCUAGCUGGUCUGAGAGGAUGACCAGCCACACUGGAACUGAGACACGGUCCAGACUCCUACGGGAGGCAGCAGUGGGGAAUAUUGCACAAUGGGCGCAAGCCUGAUGCAGCCAUGCCGCGUGUAUGAAGAAGGCCUUCGGGUUGUAAAGUACUUUCAGCGGGGAGGAAGGCGAUAAGGUUAAUAACCUUGUCGAUUGACGUUACCCGCAGAAGAAGCACCGGCUAACUCCGUGCCAGCAGCCGCGGUAAUACGGAGGGUGCAAGCGUUAAUCGGAAUUACUGGGCGUAAAGCGCACGCAGGCGGUCUGUCAAGUCGGAUGUGAAAUCCCCGGGCUCAACCUGGGAACUGCAUUCGGAACUGGCAGGCUAGAGUCUUGUAGAGGGG